UUGCACGCUGGCGGCAGGCCUAACACAUGCAAGUCGAAUGGUAACAGGAAACAGCUUGCUGUUUCGCUGACGAGUGGCGGACGGGUGAGUAAUGUCUGGGAAACUGCCUGAUGGAGGGGGAUAACUACUGGAAACGGUAGCUAAUACCGCAUAACGUCGCAAGACCAAAGAGGGGGACCUUCGGGCCUCUUGCCAUCAGAUGUGCCCAGAUGGGAUUAGCUAGUAGGUGGGGUAACGGCUCACCUAGGCGACGAUCCCUAGCUGGUCUGAGAGGAUGACCAGCCACACUGGAACUGAGACACGGUCCAGACUCCUACGGGAGGCAGCAGUGGGGAAUAUUGCACAAUGGGCGCAAGUCUGAUGCAGCCAUGCCGCGUGUAUGAAGGAGGCCUUCGGGUUGUAAAGUACUUUCAGCGGAGAGGAAGGGAGUAAGGUUAAUACCUUUGCUCAUUGACGUUACCCGCAGAAGAAGCACCGGCUAACUCCGUG
rnacentral:rRNA from 1 species